AGAGGGUGCGAGCGUUAAUCGGAAUUACUGGGCGUAAAGAGUACGUAGGUGGAGUAUCAAGUUGACUGUGAAAUUUCUGGGCUUAACCUAGACAGGUCAGCCAAUACUGGUAAUCUAGAGUGUGGUAGAGGGUAGUGGAAUUUCCGGUGUAGCGGUGAAAUGCGUAGAGAUCGGAAGGAACACCAGUGGCGAAGGCGGCUACCUGGACCAACACUGACACUGAGGUACGAAAGCGUGGGGAGCAAACAGGAUUAGAUACCCUGGUAGUCCACGCUGUAAACGAUGACAACUAGCCGUUGGGAGCCCUUGUGCUUUUAGUGGCGCAGCUAACGCGAUAAGUUGUCCGCCUGGGGAUACGACCGCAAGGUUA
rnacentral:rRNA from 1 species